AAUGAACGCUGGCGGCAGGCCUAACACAUGCAAGUCGAACGGAUCCUUCGGGAUUAGUGGCGGACGGGUGAGUAACGCGUAGGAACAUACCCAAAGGUACGGAAUAGCCUCGGGAAACUGGGAGUAAUACCGUAUGUGCUCGAAAGAGGAAAGAUUUAUCGCCUUUGGAUUGGCCCGCGUUGGAUUAGGUAGUUGGUGGGGUAAUGUCCUACCAAGCUAACGAUCCAUAGCUAGUUUGAGAGGAUGAUCAGCCACACUGGGACUGAGACACGGGCCAGACUCCUACGGGAGGCAGCAGUGGGGAAUCUUAGACAAUGGUGGAAACCCUGAUCUAGCCAUGCCGCGUGAUCGAUGAAGGCCUUAGAGUUGUAAAGAUCUUUCAGGUGGGAAGAUAAUGACUGUACCACCAGAAGAAGCCCCGGCUAACUCCGUGCCAGCCGCCGCCGUAA
rnacentral:rRNA from 1 species